rnacentral:tRNA from 1 species
CGAGGGGUGUUUACACAAAGAACUGCUAAUUCCGCGCCCUGGGACUAAACCCCCAGACCCCUUA